rnacentral:lncRNA from 10 species
AGCCCACCCUAGAGGCCACUUUUAGCCAGAGUGUUGGGGCCUUGACCCCACACUGCCUCGUCCCCUCUGUCCUCGCCCCGACCCUGACGCAUCAGAGCCGGGACACUGGUGACUUUCCUGGGGAAAUCUCUAGAUGUGACCUCUAUGGCCGGGGACAGGGGACUGGGUUUGAGUCUUGAGUCCUUUCCAGCAAGCGCCUUCCCGCUUGGAGCCUUGUUUCCUUCCUGGAUAAAUGGGCGGGGAAGCAUCACGGAGGUGUGCGGGUUUAAUCGGCACAUGCGCUGCUGCCUGCAGGCCAAGCUCAGGAUAAGCUCUUGCAGUAAAUAGCAACGUUUAUGUCCCUCGACUCCUGGCUCAGAGACGCGACCCAGGUGGGAACUUGAUUCGUGAAACCCAUCAGGGAGGAAGAGUCCCGACCUAUGCAUUGAAGGACGGGGUGGACAGAAAGAAGGAACAGCAGUUAGAAGAGCAUUGGCGGGUCCUGUAGCAUCUGAGUCCCUGCUUGGACCAGCUUUCUGGGAGAUCUGGCAACCAUACCCGCCCCUUAGCUGGCCCCCCUCCACUGAUGACUAAUGGCCAGGUGUAAGACAGUCUUCCGAAGGGGCCGUAAGACCACCAUGGGCUCAAGAUAGACAUUGAGUCCUGCCCUCGCCCACCUCCUCCUCUCUCCACCUCCACAUCUUGGUUUCUUGUCCUCCGUGUGCAAAAUGUGCUUUCCUGCCCCACCUACGUCUCCACAUAUGAAGAAUCAAUAACAAUUUUAGAGAGAAAAUACAGUUGUCAUGGAAAAAAAAUGG